rnacentral:rRNA from 1 species
GAUGAACGCUGGCGGCGUGCUUAACACAUGCAAGUCGAACGAAGCACUUUAUUUGAUUUCCUUCGGGACUGAUUAUUUUGUGACUGAGUGGCGGACGGGUGAGUAACGCGUGGGUAACCUGCCUUGUACAGGGGGAUAACAGUUGGAAACGGCUGCUAAUACCGCAUAAGCGCACAGCAUCGCAUGCUGCAGUGUGAAAAACUCCGGUGGUAUAAGAUGGACCCGCGUUGGAUUAGCUAGUUGGUGAGGUAACGGCCCACCAAGGCGACGAUCCAUAGCCGACCUGGGAGGGUGACAGGCCACAGUGGGACUGAGACACGGCCCAAACUCCUACGGGAGGGAGCAGUGGGGAGUAUUGCACAAUGGGCGAAGGCCUGAUGCAGCGACGCCGCGUGAGCGAAGAAGUGUUUCGUUAUGUAAAGCUCUAUCAGCAGGGAAGAUAAUGACGGUACCUGACUAAGAAGCACCGGCUAAAUACGUG